rnacentral:rRNA from 1 species
CUUCUGCGAAAGCAUCUGCCAAGGAUGUUUUCAUUAAUCAAGAACGAAAGUUAGGGGAUCGAAGACGAUCAGAUACCGUCGUAGUCUUAACCAUAAACGAUGCCGACCAGCGAUUAGGAGACGUUGAAUACAAAACACCACCAUCGGCGCGGUCGUCCUUGGCGUUCGUGUUCACGCCGAGCGCGAGGGCGGCUUAGCCCGAUGGCACCGGUGAAUGACUCCCCUAGCAGCUUGUGAGAAAUCAUAAGUCUUUGGGUUCCGGGGGGAGUAUGGUCGCAAGGCUGAAACUUAAAGGAAUUACGGAAGGGCACCACCAGGAGUGGAGCCUGCGGCUU